AUUGAACGCUGGCGGCAGGCCUAACCCAUGCAAGUCGAACGAGUUGCGGCCGGGUGAGUAAUGUCUGGGAAACUGCCUGAUGGAGGGGGAUAACUACUGGAAACGGUAGCUAAUACCGCAUACCCUCUGAUGUGCCCAAAUGGGAUUAGCUAGUAGGGGGGGUAACGGCUCACCUAGGCGACGAUCCCUAGCUGGUCUGAGAGGAUGACCAGCAAAACGGGAACGGAGACACGGUCCAGACUCCUAAGGGAGGCAGCAGUGGGGAAUAUUGCACAAUGGGCGCAAGCCUGAUGCAGCAAUGCCGCGUGUAUGAAGAAGGCCUUCGGGUUGUAAAGUACUUUCAGCGGGGAGGCGUUAACCGCAGAAGAAGCACCGGCUAACUCCGUGCCAGCAGCCGCGGUAAUUC
rnacentral:rRNA from 1 species